GGACGGGUGGCGAAACUGGCAAACGCUACGGCUUUAAAAGCCGUUGGCCGCAAGGCCUUGUGAGUUCGACUCUCACCCCGUCCA
rnacentral:tRNA from 1 species